CCUACGGGAGGCAGCAGUGGGGAAUUUUCCGCAAUGGGCGAAAGCCUGACGGAGCAAUACCGCGUGAGGGACGACGGCUUUUGGGUUGUAAACCUCUUUUCCCUGGGAAGAAGAUCUGACGGUACCAGGGGAAUCAGCAUCGGCUAACUUCGUGCCAGCAGCCGCGGUAAUACGAGGGAUGCAAGCGUUAUCCGGAAUUAUUGGGCGUAAAGCGUCCGCAGGUGGCUCUGUAAGUCUGUCGUUAAAGAAUGGGGCUCAACCCCAUACAGGCGAUGGAAACUACAAGGCUAGAGUUUGGUAGGGGUCACGGGAAUUCUUAGUGUAGCGGUGAAAUGCGUAGAUAUUAAGAAGAACACCAGCGGCGAAAGCGCGUGACUGGGCCAGUACUGACACUCAUGGACGAAAGCUAGGGGAGCGAAAGGGAUUAGAUACCCUAGUAGUC
rnacentral:rRNA from 1 species